GGUCAUAGUUGUGUUUAAUAUUUUUUGUGAAUCUUAGCUCAAUCUAAUAGUUGAAUUGAGGAUUAUUGAGGUUUAAGUGUGUCAAGGUCGCAAAAAGUAGAAUUUUAGGUCUAGUGAGGGUUUUUAAGUUUUCUUGCAAUGUACUAGUUGGAUUGGAGUGAAAUUUGUGUGAAGAUAUUAGACUUGUUUUUCUAUGUGUAUGAGAAUUUUGAUAUCAAUCGAACAGUGAAAAAAAGAGAUAUUAGCUCUGGGAGAUUGGCAUCAAUGUUGGAGAAGGAAGCCGGCCAAUAUCCAAGCACGUUUUUCAGGUUAUCAUCUAUUUGGUAAUUUUGAUCCUUUUCAAAAAAAAAUUGCUUUUUUUCAACUUAGUUUUUAAGAAGUGUGCAAAAUUUGAGUUAAGAUCAAUGGUUCAUACAUUAGUUAUUGAAAUUUAAAUCUAUUGUAGAAAUUACUAGGAUUUGGUUAGGGUUUGAUUUAGGGUUAGGAUUUGGUUAGGAUUUGAUUUAGGAUUAGGGUUUGGUUUAGGAUUUAGGGUUUAGGAUUUGAUUAGGGUUUGAUUUAGGAUUUAGGAUUUGAUUUAGGAUUUAGGAUUUGGUUUAGGAUUUAUGGCUUGAUUAGGGUUUUAUUUGAGUUUGUUUAAGAUUUAAGAUUUAGUUAGUUUUUGGCCUAAAGUUUGAAUGAAGUUCAAUUAGAUUUCAACUAGGAUUAAAUUAAGAUUGAAUUGAGAUGUAUUUGAGAUAUGUUUGUAAUCAUUCUAAUAUUUUUUUAAGAUUUUUUAUUGUUUCUUUGGAAUUCCUUUGAGGUUUCUCUGAAUUUGAUUAAAGCUUAUUUAGCAUUGUUAGUGUUCUAUUAGAAUUAGGAUUUUGUUGUUGCAAUUUCCAUUCUACCUUCCAUAGCUAAGUGCUCGGAGCAUUCUCAAGCAAGACUUAAUGUAUCACGACAACAGACAUACAUAUUUAUUCCAAUAGUUACCUAU
rnacentral:lncRNA from 1 species